rnacentral:rRNA from 1 species
CCCAGACAGCCAGGAUGUUGGCUUAGAAGCAGCCAUCAUUUAAAGAAAGCGUAAUAGCUCACUGGUCGAGUCGGCCUGCGCGGAAGAUGUAACGGGGCUAAACCAUGCACCGAAGCUGCGGCAGCGAACGUAUCACUUAAAGCGAUUCAGCGGGUUACGAUUGACGGAGCGAAGCGACGUCAAAGCGUAUACAAAGUCGAGUCGGUUUAAGGAUACGUUCGUUGGGUAGGGGAGCGUUCUGUAAGCCUGCGAAGGUGGCCUGUGAGGGUUGCUGGAGGUAUCAGAAGUGCGAAUGCUGACAUAAGUAACGAUAAAGCGGGUGAAAAGCCCGCUCGCCGGAAGACCAAGGGUUCCUGUCCAACGUUAAUCGGGGCAGGGUGAGUCGACCCCUAAGGCGAGGCCGAAAGGCGUAGUCGAUGGGAAACGGGUUAAUAUUCCCGUACUUGGUGUUACUGCGAAGGGGGGACGGAGAAGGCUAUGUUGGCCGGGCGACGGUUGUCCCGGUUUAAGCGUGUAGGCUGGUUUUCCAGGCAAAUCCGGAAAAUCAAGGCUGAGGCGUGAUGACGAGGCACUACGGUGCUGAAGCAACAAAUGCCCUGCUUCCAGGAAAAGCCUCUAAGCAUCAGGUAACAUCAAAUCGUACCCCAAACCGACACAGGUGGUCAGGUAGAGAAUACCAAGGCGCUUGA